rnacentral:rRNA from 1 species
GAUGAACGCUGGCGGCGUGCCUAAUACAUGCAAGUCGAGCGAACGGACGAGAAGCUUGCUUCUCUGAUGUUAGCGGCGGACGGGUGAGUAACACGUGGAUAACCUACCUAUAAGACUGGGAUAACUUCGGGAAACCGGAGCUAAUACCGGAUAAUAUUUUGAACCGCAUGGUUCAAAAGUAAAAGACGGUCUUGCUGUCACUUAUAGAUGGAUCCGCGCUGCAUUAGCUAGUUGGUAAGGUAACGGCUUACCAAGGCAACGAUGCAUAGCCGACCUGAGAGGGUGAUCGGCCACACUGGAACUGAGACACGGUCCAGACUCCUACGGGAGGCAGCAGUAGGGAAUCUUCCGCAAUGGGCGAAAGCCUGACGGAGCAACGCCGCGUGAGUGAUGAAGGUCUUCGGAUCGUAAAACUCUGUUAUUAGGGAAGAAUAUAUGUGUAAGUAACUGUGCACAUCUUGACGGUACCUAAUCAGAAAGCCACGGCUAACUACGUGCCAGCAGCCGCGGUAAUACGUAGGUGGCAAGCGUUAUCCGGAAUUAUUGGGCGUAAAGCGCGCGUAGGCGGUUUUUUAAGUCUGAUGUGAAAGCCCACGGCUCAACCGUGGAGGGUCAUUGGAAACUGGAAAACUUGAGUGCAGAAGAGGAAAGUGGAAUUCCAUGUGUAGCGGUGAAAUGCGCAGAGAUAUGGAGGAACACCAGUGGCGAAGGCGACUUUCUGGUCUGUAACUGACGCUGAUGUGCGAAAGCGUGGGGAUCAAACAGGAUUAGAUACCCUGGUAGUCCACGCCGUAAACGAUGAGUGCUAAGUGUUAGGGGGUUUCCGCCCCUUAGUGCUGCAGCUAACGCAUUAAGCACUCCGCCUGGGGAGUACGACCGCAAGGUUGAAACUCAAAGGAAUUGACGGGGACCCGCACAAGCGGUGGAGCAUGUGGUUUAAUUCGAAGCAACGCGAAGAACCUUACCAAAUCUUGACAUCCUUUGACAACUCUAGAGAUAGAGCCUUCCCCUUCGGGGGACAAAGUGACAGGUGGUGCAUGGUUGUCGUCAGCUCGUGUCGUGAGAUGUUGGGUUAAGUCCCGCAACGAGCGCAACCCUUAAGCUUAGUUGCCAUCAUUAAGUUGGGCACUCUAAGUUGACUGCCGGUGACAAACCGGAGGAAGGUGGGGAUGACGUCAAAUCAUCAUGCCCCUUAUGAUUUGGGCUACACACGUGCUACAAUGGACAAUACAAAGGGCAGCGAAACCGCGAGGUCAAGCAAAUCCCAUAAAGUUGUCCUCAGUUCGGAUUGUAGUCUGCAACUCGACUACAUGAAGCUGGAAUCGCUAGUAAUCGUAGAUCAGCAUGCUACGGUGAAUACGUUCCCGGGUCU